CAAACAGACUCCUCGGUGGUUUAUGAUUCUGACACAUUACAUUAACAAAGCAUUCCCAGCACUGCAGAAGGACCAAUUCUCUUACAGUGCUAAUGUAAUCCUCCAGAUAAAUCAUGCUGAUCAUAUACAAGCAAUCUGACAAAACAUCUACUUAAAGUGACAUAAAAAAGAUGCCCUGGGUCUUCCUCUUCCGGUUUCAUUCCUAACGGUAAGGUGAAAUCUGUUACGGCAAUGAGGCCGCAGACACAGAAGCAACAGUAUUCACAGAGCCUUCCCUGAGACCUUCAAAACGUCAGCACAAAUAUGAAAAUGGAAAUGUGUGAAGCAUCUGGUGGCGGCCCUCACUUCCUCCAAAGAAUCUAAUUUCUCAUAGAGUCAGAAGUUUUAUCUCCAACUGACCGCAUGCACGUAGAUGAACUGUCUUCUCUCAUUUCUAAAUAUAACAAUAUAGAAAUUCACUGCAAAAACUCGCUUUGCCUCUCAAAGUUAUUAGGACAUGCAUGACACAGCAUAUUAGUAAAAUACACACACAUACACACACACACACACACAUAAAAUUAUUGAACCUCAUUAAAUAAUCAGAUUCUUUGACUGGUCCUGGUCCCUGGCUCCUGAGAGGAGGACUGAACCUUUGGGAUUUCCCAAGAGAUAGGAUAAUCUUCAUUCUUCAUGGUGGAUUCCUCAGAUCACACCUUUAAGACUGGCUACAUCUCCCAACUCUGGAGGAGCAAAGAAAGAUGGAUACUGAGUUCAAAUGUGAGACCAGUGAUUCCGUCAAUAACGACCAUGUAAGCCCCAGUAAAAUCUCUGGCUGCUGGAGUUUUGAGGCAAAUUAAAAUACACAGAGACACCCCAAGAAAUUAAUCCUCUGAUUGAAAGAAAAAUAUAGAUCAGUUGAAAAGUUUGAAAUGGGAGGCGCUGUAUUGGACUCCUGCACUGGAGAGAUGAUUUCCAGUUCCUUUCCCCGGCAUUACGAAGAUUCUGUCUUAGCAUUUCUGAGGCAAGGCACAGCCGUGACAAGCACGUAAUGACCCGGAAGCUUUCAUCUUCAAACGCACUUUGAUGUGGGAGCCAGGGUCUGCAAUGCAUAAAUAAUGUGGACACUGUAGUACAGGAAGGUGAAAACGCAAAUGUCUCUUCAGCUAAAACGUUCUGUAAGUUAAGAAUGGCACGGCCAGUUCUUUUCUAGAUGGGAAGUUGCUAUAUCCAGAGAUUUGACUUGGUUAUUAUUCCAAUAAGCAUGCUUUCAGUUAAAGCCCUUGAAUUAAGGUAUUUCAUGUGCAAUAAGAAGAAGAUUAUCUCAACCUCUUCGCACAUUGCAUGCUGGGAUUGAAAUAGACACUCCUGGAUAAUAUCUAAAGGCUCAACAGGUGGAUACCAAAGAUCCUUUGAUAUUAGAAUGUGUCAGAGCGACAGAUGAGAUAUGAGUUCAGACAAGAAAGCAUCCUGGGAAAUAACCAAGAUAUCAAGUAAAACUGAAGCCUUCAAAAUAAAAUAAAAUAAAAUAAAGAGAGCGAGUCAUUGAGCCUAAAAAAAAAUCUAGGCAAUAAUAUCCUAAGACAAAUUAAAACAAGUAAAAGGGCUGAGUGAGAGGAAAAGUAACUCUCAUCAACUGAAUUCGAAGUAAUUACUUUUGAAAAAAAAAGUAAUCACAGGCACCAGCUCUUACAGACAGAUGAAUAGAAGCAUUCCGUUUAUACAGUGGAUAAGAGUGAGAACCUCAGUCUACCACCACAGACCUGUGCUGCCAGCCGAGCAGGCACAGCAUAGUCAAGGACCACACAUCAGC